ACCCGUUAUUGAGUUUUCAUUAUUUAGUUAAAAUAUUAAUUAUAAAUUAUUUUAAUAAUGAUUUUUAUAACUGCCAGUAGUCAAUCAAUUUUGCAAUCAAAUUUUAAAUGAAUAUGACUUUCUUUUCUAAUUUUAGGAAAAUUUGAUUUAAUUUUGGGAAUAAUUGAGUUUAAGCUCAUAUUUUCCCAAAUGUUGUAUGAAAAGCACAAAUUUAAGGCAAUUAUUCCUAAGGCCUUGUUUUCCUUGAUUUUAGGAAUCUAGUUUUCUGAGUGUAAUCCAUUCUUAAAUUCUAUACGAAUUUGGUUGAAUUGACUUUAGGGACAUUAUUUUCCCUGAUAUAUAGGCUAAAAAUUAACAAUUCUCUAUGCUAUGAAUUUCAAGAAUUCUUGAAUACAUGAAAUUAAACAAGCCCAUGUUUACGCGAUUCAGACGGAUGCAUGAAAUAAUGUACCCAACUUGGCUGCGCCUCACCAAUUCACGCAUUUAAUUUGAUUUCAUAGUCAACUUUCGUGUGUAAGCGAAUACAUGACAUUGUGUUUAUGCACACACAUAUUUUCCCGUUUCAUGAAAUAAUUGCAUGAAGUGGCUGUCGCACAAACACAGUAAAAAUAAGUUUUCAGUUCUGCGCACAGUGUUUGGAAGUAUUAUUUUGAUCUCGACUGUAUAUGUGGCUUCAAUCUGGUAUUCCCAUGGAUGCGUUAUGUGACGCUAUGCGUGAGCGCGUGGCUUAAUGAAUAAAUAUUCAAGCACAUUUCGGGCGUUCGGUGCGUAUGCGUGAUAUUCAUUACACUCUCUAAUCACAAACACGCACACAAAGUCGCGCAUACGGGCCAUUUGGCACUCAUCUUCACUCCACUCCGGCAAACAUAAUCUGCGCUUUGCAUUCAUUAUGCAUCGCAGUGUUCGGGGCAUAAAUUAUGACCAUAUGGGCUCUAAACCCCAUUUUUCACCCUUCCGCUUUUAAAGCUCUCACCCAUAGUGACCAAUUGAUGGGGAAAACAGCGGAAAACAUAUCAUUUUUCAGUGCCACCUGACGACAAGCUGCUCUUAAUUAACCUUAAUUGGAGCAGACGGGCUUUAAGACAAUCCUUGGGUAAAAGUUUAAUCUUCUGAAGAAGGGGACAUGUAAGCAGCUUUUCCCGGAAUAGAAAAACAUGUUGCCAAGCAGCGUACAUCUCGUGGCAUCUCAAUUCAUUUGGCCCACUGAAAUAUUUACGGGAAUUACUUUUGUUCGGAAAAUUCCAUGCAAUGACAAACAGUGAUUCCCAGAAGUACUCGAACAUCUCCGGCAGCAGUGAGUUCGAUAUCAAAGUGAAUUCCAUGGGAAUCAUUCACUCACAUCCGAGUCCCGCAUGUGGAAAACCAGGGGUUGGUCGGAGUGACGGAAACUUAAUUAUACUUUUUCCAUUUCGUUACGCUGGGAAAACAAAUGAUAAACCAGAAAACGAAAGGAAACCUAAGAAUGUCUUUCGUUUGCAUAUGCAUCUGGCUUGAAUGAUUACAAAGUCCCAAAUUAAAAAUGUAUAUUACUAUGCAAACUGCAAGCCCUCUGGCUCAUGUCCAUCGUGUUGGAAACGCCAGAGUGAUCUGAGCAUUGGAUUCGCUUGUCCCCGAUGAAAGAGCUACAAUUUAUGCAGCUCCAGCGGCGCUUGCUCCCAUCUCCUGUUCCAACCAAAUUGAUGGCGUUGCAGGCAGUUUCAAAUUAAUUUAGUGUGUAUAAACUUGUCAGGAUAUUCAUUCGGGGACAAGGGUGGCCAGCUCAGUGUCUGCUCUGUUGGGAUUCAAUUUCAAUUUGCCAUUCAGGCGUAAACUUGAAAAGUCUGUGAUUUAUUGUACGUAUAAGCAGAUUUACUUUCAAUCUUUCGCCCCACCUGGUUGCCCUUUUACUCAGCCUUUCUCUAAUCUCUAUUCUGUAAUGCAGAAGCUGUAUGCUGUCAGUCCGAGAAUACUAAGAAAAAACUGUAUCAUUUCUAAAGUCAAAUUUCUUGAAAUUGAUACAAAGCCGAGUCAGUAAACUUAACAAUUCAUUCACAUAUAUAAGACUAUUUUCAGGGAUUUAUAUUUGCUAUCUUGUUCACAAUUGCAUUGCUGCUUAAAUAUAAGUAGGAUUAAUUAUUUCUCCAAAUUAAUUGUGAAAUGCUUUUUCUAAUUCGAAAUUCAAUUGUGCCACAGAAACAAUAAAUCAGUGCUUUAAAACUCAAAAGAACAAUUUAAUUAAAAAGUAUAUUUUCGAUUUUUUUAAUACAUUUUAAGGAACUAACACAAACAAUUUGUUAUAUUUUCUUUCCACAUUUAAGUUUCUAUUUUCCUCAGUGCGCACAUGUGAGUUUCCGUAAGCUCAACCGAAUCGCCUUUCGUCGGACUUCCCAAGUCGCCAGGAGCGGAGCAGGACGUCUUGGCAACACUUACCCCAUCCGGAAUGCACUUGGGCGUGGUGGCGGCACUCGGCGAGCUGAACUCCCGCAGCACAUCCUGCAGCUUUCGGGUGGAAUCUGCAAGGUGGAAGACAGGUGAAAGGGUACAGAUUUGAAGGAAGCAAAGUUUGGCAAGUCGAAGAUGAUAUUCAAGUUUGCAGCCAUUUAUUAUUUAUUUUAAUAUUCUAUACAAGGACAAUUGCCGAUUUUUAUGCAAGUCAUACUUUUUGGGGAGUGUGUCAACGGAGCUGCAGGCUUGAAACCGUGUUGCAUGUGGCACAUGAUGCUGCCUGUGUGGUGGUAUGCGGUUUACCCGUCUGCUAAACGCCGUAAGCUGACGGUUUAACUUCCCACAUCGAUGGUCAGAUGCGAAAGAAAAAUAGAACGAUUAUGUAAGAAACAACAACGAAUUUUUGUUUACUUUGUAUAUAUAUUUAAGAAUUUUAUUCAUAACCGUUGUAAUAGUCUAC